rnacentral:tRNA from 1 species
UCCCCGAUUGUGUAAUGGUAGCACCUCAGUUUCUGGUACUGAGUGUGGAGGUUCGAAUCCCCCUUGGGGAAACA